GAUGAACGCUGGCGGCGUGCCUAAUACAUGCAAGUCGAGCGAACGGACGAGAAGCUUGCUUCUCUGAUGUUAGCGGCGGACGGGUGAGUAACACGUGGAUAACCUACCUAUAAGACUGGGAUAACUUCGGGAAACCGGAGCUAAUACCGGAUAAUAUUUUGAACCGCAUGGUUCAAAAGUGAAAGACGGUCUUGCUGUCACUUAUAGAUGGAUCCGCGCUGCAUUAGCUAGUUGGUAAGGUAACGGCUUACCAAGGCAACGAUGCAUAGCCGACCUGAGAGAGGGAUCGGCCACACGGGAACUGAGACACGGUCCAGACUCCUACGGGAGGCAGCAGUAGGGAAUCUUCCGCAAUGGGCGAAAGCCUGACGGAGCAACGCCGCGUGAGUGAUGAAGGUCUUCGGAUCGUAAAGCUCUGUUAUUGGGGAAGAACAGAUGUGUAAGUAACUGUGCACAGCUUGACGGUACCUAAUCAGAAAGCCACGGCUAACUACGUG
rnacentral:rRNA from 1 species